CCUACAAUCGCGGCCGUCAUCGGGGAGUAGCCGCUUUUUGCAACGCAAGAGGCCGACGUCAACACACUUGGCCGCGCACGGCCAUGGCGUCGGCAGCCUGGGGGCAACGCCGAACAAAUCCCUCGCGGGGACUUGUGCAGCGUCGCCCUCGUGCCUGGCAAGACCUUUGACCACGACGCCUCCAGUGUGGCUGGGGAGGCGGCGUGGUCAAUCGUCAAUCACCGGCCC
rnacentral:ncRNA from 2 species